UACGGAGGGGGCAAGCGUUGUUCGGAAUUACUGGGCGUAAAGGGCGCGCAGGCGGCUGCUCAAGUCAGGCGUGAAAGGCCUGGGCUCAACCCGGGAAUUGCGCUUGAGGCUGGGCUGGCUUGAGUGCGGGAGAGGAUGGUGGAAUUCCCAGUGUAGAGGUGAAAUUCGUAGAUAUCGGGAAGAACACCGGUGGCGAAGGCGGCCAUCUGGACCGCAACUGACGCUGAGGCGCGAAAGCGUGGGGAGCAAACAGG
rnacentral:rRNA from 1 species